rnacentral:lncRNA from 1 species
CUCACAGCCCACUUGCGGCUCCUCCUUGCCGGAAUCUGCUUUCCGUGUCCUACCACAGGGUGUUGCGUUAACUUCUGGAUCUUGAGAAGGACUAAAAGCAGUGAAGCAGCAGGGGCUGAGGCUGGGGGUGCCUUAUAGACCUUUGUCUGAAGGGCAGGCUCUAACCGUGCUUUUGGCCUCUACCCUGCUUUCCGUUCUUUUUUCUCCCUGGUCUCCUCCCUGCCCUCUACUGUCUUUACUCAGUGUCUCUCUGGCCUUAAUGAAAGGAAAUACGGCAGGAUGAGGUCUGUGAACGGGUGCUGGGCAACCAGAUGUGUGAACCAGGAAAGACUGAAAACCCGGUUGGUGAUACCACAAAGCCUCCUGUAUGCACACGUGAUCUUUGGUUCUGUCAUUACUUCAGUGCUGUCAGGCAAUGGCAGGAAGAGCUUCCUCAGGGCUUGGUAAAACUCAUUCCCUUUUAGUUGACUAACAAGACUUUGAAUCAGAAAGCUAUCGCUGGAUUAGAGGGAGGAGCCUGCGAGCCGUUGAGGCAACCGCACAUCAAUCAGGAGAUCAGAAAACUGAGGUCAGAAAGGUAAACUGAUAGGCCUAUGCUAAAAGAGAAGUGGGUGCUAUGGACUGAAUUGUGUUCUCCAGAAUUCAUAUGUUGAAGCCCUAACCCCCAAUGUGACUGCAGAGUCUAUGAAGAGGUG